rnacentral:rRNA from 1 species
GACGUAGGAGGCGAGCGUUGUCCGGAUUCAUUGGGCGUAAAGCGCGCGCAGGCGGCUUGGUAAGUCGGAUGUGAAAUCCCGAGGCUCAACCUCGGGUCUGCAUCCGAUACUGCCCGGCUAGAGGUAGGUAGGGGAGAUCGGAAUUCCUGGUGUAGCGGUGAAAUGCGCAGAUAUCAGGAGGAACACCGAUGGCGAAGGCAGCUCGCUGGGACGGUACUGACGCUGAGACGCGAAAGCGUGGGGAGCAAACAGG